rnacentral:rRNA from 1 species
AACGAACGCUGGCGGCAUGCCUAACACAUGCAAGUCGAACGAGACCUUCGGGUCUAGUGGCGCACGGGUGCGUAACGCGUGGGAACCUGCCCUUAGGUUCGGAAUAACUCCCCGAAAGGGGUGCUAAUACCGGAUAAUGUCUUCGGACCAAAGAUUUAUCGCCUUUGGAUGGGCCCGCGUUGGAUUAGCUAGUUGGUAGGGUAAAAGCCUACCAAGGCGACGAUCCAUAGCUGGUCUGAGAGGAUGAUCAGCCACACUGGGACUGAGACACGGCCCAGACUCCUACGGGAGGAAGCAGUGGGGAAUAUUGGACAAUGGGCGAAAGCCUGAUCCAGCAAUGCCGCGUGAGUGAUGAAGGCCUUAGGGUUGUAAAGCUCUUUUACACGGGAUGAUAAUGACAGUACCGGGAGAAUAAGCUCCGGCUAACUCCGUG